GUAUGAUCUAUGCACCAAAACUGCUUCAUUAAACUAAAGUUGUGUUGGUGCCUAUAGUAUCCCUUUAAAUUAAAAAGGAUUCCUAAUAAUGUUACAAACCACCUUAAAAGUGUGAAGUAUCCAAAAAUGUAACAAAUUCUAGUUAGAGGCAGCUUAACUUUUUUCUUUCACAUACUUGCUUCGCAAAAAACAAAUUAAAUUGUUACUCCAGCCAUCAUAAUCAGUUUUCUGUCUUACCUGGAUUCUCACAAGGCAGGUUUACGAAAUCCAACUUUUGUAGAGCUGCCAUUGCCAGAUGUCGAUCCAGCCUCUCAUUCAUUGGCUGAGAGCAUCAGCUGGAUAAUCUCAGCCAAUGAAUGAUGCUCUGUGCAUCAACAUUUGCACAGAGCUGCCAUUUGUCAGCCAAGAUGCUGCCAGAGGUGGAGUUACACCUCCACCAGCAAAGUGAAACACUGCACGUGCAGACCCCAGGCACCAUGAC